rnacentral:rRNA from 1 species
UACGGAGGGUGCAAGCGUUAUCCGGAUUUACUGGGUUUAAAGGGUGCGUAGGUGGGUUUGUAAGUCAGCGGUGAAAUCUCCAGGCUUAACCUGGAAAUUGCCAUUGAUACUAUAGAUCUUGAAUUAUCUGGAGGUAAGCGGAAUAUGUCAUGUAGCGGUGAAAUGCUUAGAUAUGACAUAGAACACCAAUUGCGAAGGCAGCUUACUACGGAUAUAUUGACACUGAGGCACGAAAGCGUGGGGAGCAAACAGG